CCCCUGAAGUGCCUGGCGUCCGCUGUCCAGGAGCCUCCUGCUCCUUCUCUCUCAGCAACGCGCGCUUCUUCCUCGGUUCCGUACGGCGUCCACAGUGCAAAACCAAACCCACCACUUUCCUCUGCAUCACAGGCCCUUUUAAAGGGCUUAAACGAGAUUUAGAUUAGAUUUAGGAGUCCUUAAUCAACCCAAAUCACGUCCCAGACCGUCGGAUCA
rnacentral:lncRNA from 1 species